rnacentral:rRNA from 1 species
CCUACGGGAGGCAGCAGUAGGGAAUCUUCCGCAAUGGACGAAAGUCUGACGGAGCAACGCCGCGUGAACGAUGAAGGCCUUCGGGUCGUAAAGUUCUGUUGUUAGGGAAGAACAAGUGCUAGUUGAAUAAGCUGGCACCUUGACGGUACCUAACCAGAAAGCCACGGCUAACUACGUGCCAGCAGCCGCGGUAAUACGUAGGUGGCAAGCGUUGUCCGGAAUUAUUGGGCGUAAAGCGCGCGCAGGCGGUUUCUUAAGUCUGAUGUGAAAGCCCCCGGCUCAACCGGGGAGGGUCAUUGGAAACUGGGAAACUUGAGUGCAGAAGAGGAAAGUGGAAUUCCAAGUGUAGCGGUGAAAUGCGUAGAGAUUUGGAGGAACACCAGUGGCGAAGGCGACUUUCUGGUCUGUAACUGACGCUGAGGCGCGAAAGCGUGGGGAGCAAACAGGAUUAGAUACCCUGGUAGUCCACGCUGUAAGCGAUGAGUGCUAAGUGUUAGAGGGUUUCCGCCCUUUAGUGCUGAAGUUAACGCAUUAAGCACUCCGCCUGGGGAGUCGGUCGCAAGCUGAAACUUANAGAGUAGUCGCGNGNGAGACGCGACGACGACGACGACGGAGGAGGAGG